AUUGAACGCUGGCGGCGUGCCUUACACAUGCAAGUCGAACGGUAACAGGUUAAGCUGACGAGUGGCGAACGGGUGAGUAAUGUAUCGGAACGUGCCCAGUCGUGGGGGAUAACUGCUCGAAAGAGCAGCUAAUACCGCAUACGACCUGAGGGUGAAAGCGGGGGACCGCAAGACCUCGCGCGAUUGGAGCGGCCGAUAUCAGAUUAGGUAGUUGGUGGGGUAAAGGCCCACCAAGCCAACGAUCUGUAGCUGGUCUGAGAGGACGACCAGCCACACUGGGACUGAGACACGGCCCAGACUCCUACGGGAGGCAGCAGUGGGGAAUUUUGGACAAUGGGCGCAAGCCUGAUCCAGCCAUGCCGCGUGCGGGAAGAAGGCCUUCGGGUUGUAAACCGCUUUUGUCAGGGAAGAAAAGGUUCUGGUUAAUACCUGGGACUCAUGACGGUACCUGAAGAAUAAGCACCGGCUAACUACGUGCCAGCCGCCGCCGUAACAC
rnacentral:rRNA from 1 species